rnacentral:rRNA from 1 species
AUUGAACGCUGGCGGCAGGCCUAACACAUGCAAGUCGAGCGGAGCGGCGGACGGGGGAGUAAUGCCUAGGAAUCUGCCUGGGAGUGGGGGAUAACGUCAGGAAACGGGCACUAAUACCGCUUACUAUCAGUAGAGCAUAGGUCGGAUUAGCUAGUUGGUGGGGUAAAGGCCUAACAAGGCUAAGACCCGUAACUGGUCUGAGAGGAUGAGCAGUCACACUGGGACUGAGACACGGCCCAGACUCCUACGGGAGGCAGCAGUGGGGAAUAUUGGACAAGGGGCGAAAGCCUGAUCCAGCCAUGCCGCGUGUGUGAAGAAGGUCUUCGGAUUGUAAAGCACUUUAAGCUGUGAGGCGUUACCAACAGAAUAAGCACCGGCUAACUUCGUGCCAGCAGCCGCGGUAAUUC